rnacentral:lncRNA from 1 species
AACAGCCGAGAGACAGAGCUAGAAAGAAACCCAUUUACUUCUCCUCAUUUGCUUUCUAAAAAAAAAAAAAAAAACCCAAUGGAAAACCACAAGAUUUAACCCUGGAGCUUUCUUCAUUUUUCAACCAUUAACAUCAGUCUUGAAACAAGAAAAAUUAGCCAUAGUCUUCCUCUUGUUUUGCUCCACUUCAGCCGAGAGAGAGAAGAGAGUUGAGAGCAAGAAAACUCCAUCUUCUUCUUCCUGUCAUCAACCGAGAACCAAGGCUGAUUCAGCCAUAGAUAUUUCACAAAAUUCCCCUAUUUCUUCAAGUUUAAACCGUAAGUGAGAGAGAGUCAAGAGAGUAGAAAGGAUCCAGCUAUGUUGGAGGGGAGAAAACAGAGGAAAGUUGGUGCAUAUCACCCUUGAGGUAUCGAAGGAGAAGCAAGUGAGCCAUCUGCAUUUUUUUUCAGCUUUGAUUUGUAAGGAAAAAGGGAGGUAACAAUUGCUAUAAAACCCCUCAUUUUUCUAUUACUCUUGAGUACUCUAGCUGUAUGUUUAAUUUAAGCCAAAAGGUGGGAGUUUAGUGGAAGAAAAAUAUACUUUUCUAAGUUAUAGGUUGCUGGAAUGUUAAUUUAGUGACAUAUGCUGAUAGUUUUGAUUUGCAGCUUUGUAUUUGGAACUUUGAUGGGUUUCCUUGCUAAGAACUUAGGUCAUAUGAUUCAUCCUAUGUUAAAAAUGAUAUAUGGUGUAUUUGCCAUGAAAAAGAGUGAGAAAUUAGUGGCUUGGAUGAAAGAAAUUUUGAAGGAACCUGGUUGGAAAAAAAAUCUGUGGGCUGACCGAUUGCAUAAAGUUGAAUAUAUCAGUUUUACUUUAAAUUUGGAGUGAAGUUUUGCUAAGAUUUCAUGUUUUAUAUCAUGCCAACCGUGUAUAUAGAAGUUAGUAUGUUUAUAUGGUUGAAUCAUAGUUGUAUGUUCAUUGAUUUGGCUGAAAAUUUGUCUAAGAGAGCUUGAGAAAAAUUGGAGGAACUUUGCUCCAUCCUUGUCACAGCUUGCUGUCUCGUCCGUUUGAGGAGUUUCCACUAGGAAGUCACACUCUAACUGUUAUAUUUCUUGUUUUGUAUGAUAUAUAGCAUGUUGGUUUUGAUCUUGGUUGCAAAUUGCUGGUUUAGAGGUGAGAUUUGUAGAGAUAAAGUUGAAAUAACUCUUGCGAAAGCUGGAAAUUCGGGUAACAAUUACCUCUGGACAGUUUUAGUAAACGGAUCAUAACUUAGUGUAGAAAAAUCGAAAUUGAGUGCCGUCAAUUGUGUUUGAAACUAUACUCAUAGAUCUUUCCAACGGUAUAAAAUUGGAGCUGUGGUUCAUUUUAUAUAUGCACCAGGAAAUCAGCAAAGUUGACUGAAAAAUCGGUCGUGAACAAGUAAAAAUUGGGAUGUUGUGGUAACUUGUGACUCAAUUUGGAUUAACUUAUGAACCAAAUAUCCUUGAGAUGUCUUCUAAAAAUUGUUAGUAUUUCAAGUCUAGUUUUAAACGAGAUAAUUUAUAUGAGUUUUUGACAUUUAUAACUUAAGUUAUGAUUUUUCCAAAGAAAGAAUGCUUGCUGGAAUUUCAGCUUUGAUUGCUAAAUUUUUCAAGAUGAUGUUAAGCUCAAUUUGCUCAAAACACCCUAGAAGACUUUUAAACUACAAGUAUGUGUUGGAAAUAAACCAAAACCAUGGACCUUAAGUGGUUUAAACUCCAUUUAUUUCACUGCUUUCAUGGCUGGAAUUCUCCUUGAGGCAGACCGAAAGAGAGAGUGAUUUUUGUUCAGCUUUACAAUUGGCUUUGUGUGGUGAAAUCAUCUUGUUAAUGUCCUAAACACAUGAUUAGACAUUCACUUUGGUAUGAGUAGUGAAUUGGAGUAGAAAAUGAAAGGUUUGAGAGGUGAAAACUUCACUUUUACAUGUUUCAUAUCCCAAGCGAUAAAUUUCUAGUUUUAGUUGAGGAAAAUGAGUGUUAAUAUGUUAAUAUCAUGUUUAAUAUAAAUGUUAGCCAUGUCAUGUGAUUUUUUCUAGCUUGUACAUGUUCUAUUAGUUUGCUUAUGGAAAUUUCAGCUUGUAGAGUUGAACUUUUGCUUGAUGGCCAGCCUUGGUAUGGAGACAUGUGAGUUGAAUACUUGUCUAUUUUUGGUGGCUUAUGGUCUGAAACUAGCAGCUUGUAUAGCCUAUCAUUUGUGGUCUUGAUUUGGAUGGUUUGGCCAUUAAAUUUUGUAUUGAAUUUGGAGAGGAAAUAUAGGAUAAAACAGGGGUUAUUGUGACAGCCCCACCUUCCCCUAAGGUGAACCAAAGGGUACGGCGGGCCGCCUGCCCAACUCUCGCCGGGAUUCAGUCGUUCACAACAAUCCUUUUAAAUGAAAUCGGAAUAAAAUCACAAGAAUAAAUAGGGCAACGAUCCAAAACUUAAAGCGGAACUUAUAUACAUUGCCAACCCAAAAGAGAGUAUGUACAUCGAAUAUACAAAGGUUCUUAAUCCUUCGUACGUCCGGCCCGUGCCAAGCACUGGGGCGAGAACCAUAAAAAAAAACAAAAGAACUAGACUAGGCUAGUCUAUGCUCUCAUCCUGCUCGCCGUCCCCUGUUAAGGAAAACAAAACUAAAGGGGUGAGUUAAAAGCUCAGUGAGGUUCCGAACACAUAAUCAAAAAAUCAUUUCAAUACAUGAAACAUGGAGUAUCAAUAAUUCAAGAAACAUUUACAACGGAAAGCGAUAGUAACACAUUCAUUAAAAGGAUACGGGCUCACUGGGAGCCGUAAAUUUGUUCGUUCGUUCGUUCUCCUGACAUUUCCCCUUAUUCCUCCAUUCUUUUGAAGAUUGCAUUUUUGUAAGUAAAACCCUCGUUCAUUCUUUCGUUUCAUUCACCCCUUUCCUGGCCUUUGGCCAGGCUCCAUCAACCUACAAGGUAAUACUCGAGUAUACCAACGUUCACACCCAGCGAUAUGGCCAGCGUCACCAUAUCGCCCGACCGAGUCCGCUUCUGGCUCAAGUCGAUCGGUAACGAAGGGCAGGGCCCAGUUCAGCCAGAAGGCUUACAUUCAUGCACAACUAAUCGUUCGUUCAAUCAUUAAAUCAUUGAAAAGUUCAUACGUAUUUAGGUCGAGUGCGAUGAAGUACACACUCGCCCAGAAAACUUGUUUUGAAAAUCAUUGCAAGUACUUAACACGUUAUCAAACAAUAACACAAGUCAUGGAGUCAAGAAUAAUAUAGCAAACAAGGAACACUCACCUAUGUAUGCAAAACAACUUGCAAAAUAUCCUUCCGGAUAUUAUCCUUAGUCACCGAGAAAACCUAAAGUUAAUGAGACAGAAUAUUUCAGUUCAUCUAGCACAAACAAUUAGGUAUUUAAAGUGAAACGAGGACAUUUAGACCCGUAGACAAAAUAGUUAGGGUUUCGUAGACCAAAUGUAAAACCAAACUCAAAAGGAUUAUAAAAUUUUCUAAUGUAAACACUUGAACCAAAGACAAGUCGGAAUCCAACUAGAGGGGCUAAGAAAUACUGUUUUCGGAAUCGUUUAUAUGGUUCAAAAUCAUUUCAUAUUCAAGUAGAUAUUAUAGACUUCAUGAAAAAGAGGGAGGACAAAAAUACCCAAGAAAACCCUAAACCAUUCCUCUUUAUUUGGUAAGAGUAAGUAAACAUUUGGAAUUUCUAAUUUAAGAAGGAUUAUGUUUUAAGAUGGAAAAACGGUUAUAGUAUUUGCCAAACAAAAAUAUACAAGUUCAAAUAGAAACUUAGCCCUCGAGCGAAAAUUUGGGCAGCACGCCCUUUGUAUUUUCCUAUUUCCAGCCAUUUAUGGCUUCAUUCUUUUUCUCAAUCGAACCAAGAUUACCCACAACACAAAUUCAUUUCAAUAGCCAUUCCAUAGGCUCAAAACAAUACAAGUAUAGAAAUCGAGCUAAUAACAAAUGCGGAAAUGAAACUUAACAAAAGACAGAUUUGACGGGUUUUGCGUAACGGACACAUCCGACGCUACGCUUAUCGGAUUGGAAUGUAAUUUAUACCAUUUCGAAGCUAAGACAGAGGGUUACAAUUUUGAUAAAGACCACUCAGUCAAGUUCUCACCCUAACUAGGUCAAAUAAACCAAAACAACUCCAGAUUUUCCAGGUCAAAGUGUACUGCAGCAGUCCUGACUUAUUCAGUCAUAUCUCAACACCUAUAACUCCAAUUCAGGUGAUUCCAAAGCCAUUUGAAACCUAAGAUACAAGGCUAUAAGUCUUAAGAAGACAUUGACAGCCAAAUCAGUAGUAUUCCUGGUCAAAACAACCAAUUACAGAAGCUGAGUAGUAUGUUCGGAUAGAAACAGGGCAGCAAGGGUAUUUCAGUCUUUUCACAGGUUACGUUGCUCCGAUUGAUCUGAAAGUUUGUAGGAUAUUAUAAAAUAUUAUUAGCUACAACUUUCAUGUUUUGUGCUAAGGUCAGUUCGGCCUCUAACUAUGGGUAACAGAACCGGGCAGAACCAAGCAGUCAUAAGUUUCAUUUCUGGAAUUUUAAAAAAUCCAUGCACUCCAAUGCUAAUCUUCUUAGUUUUGGCUUGAUUCACCACCUCAACCUCCUAGACAAGCUUGUAUGCACUAUAUACCAUCCACACAAGAAGAAACAUGGCUGAACAACACAAAACCCUACCUUACUAAUUCACCCAAAAUCAUCACAACUACUUGUAUAGUUACCAAUUUAAUCAAAACUUGAGUUGUAUAGCAACUUGAGCAAGAAUAAAAGCACCAAAGAUAAGCGACAGCCAAUACCUCAAUAAAGAUGGUAGCGUAGAGUUUUCCUCUCCAAAAUCACUCCACCAAAGCCUUUAAAUCUCCUUAGUGAGCAAGUUUUAUGGAGUAGUUGGUACAAACUUUGAUUGGAACUCAAGAUUCAAGCACAAUUUGAAGUUGGAGUUGAAGGUUUCUCUCUUGUUUUUUCCCUCCCCUAAAAUUUCGGCCAAGCUCAAGAAAAAUGGAAGAAAAUGGAGCCAAGAAGAAGAUAAAAAGGAAGGAAAAUGUCUUGGUCAAAGGUCUUGGUCAAAGGUCUUGGUCAAGACCUUGGUUGGAUUUGUGACACAUGGCUUAAUCCCAAAUAUGUCCACCAAAAUAUCUCUCUUUUCCUUAGUCAAUAAUGGUGGCUGGCUUAAGGGUUAAUUAAGAGCUAAUUAGCUCAACUAAAAUAAGGAGAUUAAGGUAAUAAAGUGGUGGUCAAGUGGUGUACUCACUCGGUAACAAACGGUACCCGUCGGAGGCCGAUUUUCUUAAAUCACACGUACUAGGGUUUUUUUCUUCCUAUUUACUAACUUUCAUAUUAUUCACCUAUAAGUCACUCUUAAGCACCAAAUUUGAUCCUCGCUCCGUACCGGAUAAUUACACUACGGAUACACGAAAAACCCUAUUUCACUUCGAUUUGAAAUCGAAAAGGAAAACCCUAAUUUCCUAUGAUCAUUGGCAUUUUUAUAGGGUGAUUGAUUGGUAAGAUGGUAUAGAAUAAUAUUUUCGAAAUAAUUUUCAAAUAAAAGGAAAUUUUCAAGAAAUAUAUAAGGAAUUUGCAAGUCCUCACAGUUAUGCUGUCCAAAUUUUGGGGCAGCUUACUACCUUGAUUUUGGACUGAUUUGGUGAUGUACUUGCCUAAUAUGCUUAGUGAACCUUUAAGCUUUGCUUAUGUAUUGCACUUUGGUCGAAAUGGAAGGGUUUCAUUGCGAUUUUCUUCCAAAUUGCUGGCUAAAAUUGUGCUUGUUUGUUGAUGGAGAGUGCAGUCUAUUACAUUGUUAUUUUUCUAACCUUUUAGUAAUUGGUUUUAGCCAAAACUUGUUCCAAACUUUGGAGGAGCCUUUUGUGCGUGAAUUUGAAUGAAAACUAUGAAGAUUGGGAGGUGAAAACCUCAUGAUUGUAUUUGUUUCAUGGCUGCGAAAAAUUCUGAUUUGGAGGGCAGUUUUUCACCUUGCUACCUUUUAGCCUCAACGUCUUUAGUUUGAAAGUCUUUUGGACACAACCUCGCUGACUUGACUUGAGAAAACCUUGUUUCUUUCAUUGGUUCGCCGCUGGAAAAUUUCCCGCCAUGAAGCGAAUAAGGAACUUGUUGGUUACUCAUGUUUCUUGAGUCCAAAAUGCUCUUAUACGCUUCAAAACCCUACUUGAGUUUUUGUCCUAGAAUAUACUUAAAUUUUUCCUUGAUUUCCAUUCUAAAUAUGGUUGUUUAUGUUGGGUUUUGAAAAAAUUUAACUUGGAGAGGUAUACAACUCAUAGCCGAGUCUAAAUUAUGAAUUCUGUUCACUUGGUUAUUCUUAGGGCUUGUCUGAUCAAGGGGGCAAUCCAGGAGGAAACUUUUGAUGCUAUUUUUGCUUGAACUAGUGAGUGUUCCAACUGCAAGUUCCAUGCUACUUGUUGCGCAAAUAUGACCUGUUUAUAACUUGUUACUUGAAUUGACUUGUUAUUACAUAGGUGAGUGUGUACUUUAUCACACUCGACCUAACUUGAUUGAAUUCCUGAUUUACUACUAUAAGUGAAUUGUUUGCAAGUGAACUGAGAUUCAUGCGCAUGAGUUGAAUGUAACGGCCUGGAUCCUAAACCCCAUAGGCUAGUUAAUCGAGUCGAGCCGGCAAGGGUCUGGUCGAUUAGAUAACGAACCCUGGGUCUACUGUUUUGUCGAAUGGAGUGUUAUCUCCUCGACUAAUUGGUAUACUCAAGUAUUACUACCACUGUUUAUGUUUGGAGUUCGGGCCCGGUAGGGGGUUGAUUGGUGGAUGGAGGUUGGAGUUAAGUGGUGAUCUACUGGACUUGUUAUGAUUCCAUGGUUGACGGAGUGUCAACAGAUUCUGAACAAGUUGUCAUGGAACCUAUUCCCGAGAACAGACUAUAUCCUUUUAUAUGCAUGUGUUAUCGGCUGUACAUGGUUAAAUGAGUUCUCUAGAUGUUACGUUCUUUAUGGAAAAUGUGAUCAUGCUAUGAUGUGAAUGCUAAAAUACCUAAUUGCUUGUUGUUCUCUUGGAACCUCACUGAGCUUUUAACUCAUCCCUUCAUUUGUUUUCCUUAACAGGGAACGAAGAAGACAAGGACAAGAAUAGUGCUAGUUGUAAUAGGAAAUCUUAAUCUUGUAUUUGGACGGCACUAUAUUAUGGUAUUAGUUUACAAGUUCUUAUCUUUUGGUCUGUAUUUUGGUUUGUCUAUUCGGAUGAUUGGUAGCAUAUAGAUGUUAUAUUGAGGAGUUUAGUGUUAUUGAUUUGCUAUCCAAAGAAUAAGGAAUUCAAAAGUUGUAGUCCUUAUUUUAAGUAAUUGCAAUUCUAUUUAUACUUAGAGAAGUGAUUGAACUGCUUGCAUUUCAUUUCGCUUGGUCAUAUACAUAAGUAUGGAGUUUUUUGUGAAGUUGGAUGGCUU